UACGUAGGGGGCAAGCGUUGUCCGGAAUCAUUGGGCGUAAAGCGCGUGUAGGCGGCUGACUAAGUCCGCUCUGAAAGCCCGGGGCUCAACCCCGGGAGGCGGGUGGAUACUGGUCAGCUCGAGUCCGGAAGAGGAGUGUGGAAUUCCUGGUGUAGCGGUGAAAUGCGCAGAUAUCAGGAGGAACACCAAUGGCGAAGGCAGCUCGCUGGGACGUGACUGACGCUGAGACGCGAAAGCGUGGGGAGCAAACAGG
rnacentral:rRNA from 1 species